rnacentral:lncRNA from 1 species
AUGUUAAAAGCAAUGCAAAGCAACCUUACAAACGCAUAUAUCCCCCCACCGUUCCGAUCCUUACUGACAACAGAGUCACAAACAGAUGAAUCCAAUCAUGUCUCAGUAAAACACAAGACACCCACCUCUGAUUUGCAAACCCACAGGCGUAUCUCAUCGAUCUUCGGUAGUAGGCUUCGGACGUUUAAGAGCACAAAAGGUGCUACGCCAUCGUCCUCACCACCGUGUCCCCCGUCACUCGCCUCUGGUGGCCUCCGCUCCGCUGUGGACCCCCCUUCCUCCAGUGCACUCUCCACCCUCAAGUCCCCUGGUCCCACUCCACCUUCAAUGCUCACACACAGCAACGGUAAACUUCAUUGACUCCAUGUCCAAAGCUAGGAUCGCUGCAUUUUAGAUGAAUCCACUGCGCGCAUUCCAAACAUACCAAAGCUUCUUUGCUGUUACUCUUUAUCCAACGUUCGCAAGAGGAGCAUGGGUGCAUAGGCCGUUUGAUGUGGUUCGUGAUAAAGUGAGGUCCAGGACAUUGGUGGAUAACCGAGAUAAAGACAGUUUGAAGUUGGAUAUUCGGCUUUCACACCUCAAUAGCUUUCAAACCACUUGAGCCACAGACUCCAAAUAAGUGUCAUUAUGUUAGAAAACUUACGCACAACAUUGCACGGGUCUUAUUUUCACGAUGUGGACAUUCAUUCGCUUUCCAAAGCUAAUAAACAUGUGAAAAUGUGAUUUUAUAUUCCUAGUUGAAUUAGUUAGGGAGCAUAAACAAAGUACAAACUUUUUUUUACAUUUGAAUUUCAAUAGCUCCUUGGUCAUGUGACCUACUUGACUCAAACAAGGUUCAGAAUGUCCACUGACUAGCCUUCUAUAUUGCACACCCUUUGGUUUGUCUAUUUUCAUCUAACACGUUUUUACAUGAAUUUUUCAAACAUUCUAAUUUCAAUAGCUCCUUGGACAUGUGACCUACUGACUUCAAACAAGGUGCAGAAUGUCCACUCAGUAAGCCUACACAUUACAC